rnacentral:rRNA from 1 species
GACGAACCGUGCGAACGUUAUUCGGAAUCACUGGGCUUAAAGGGCGCGUAGGCGGGUUGCCAAGUCUGUGGUGAAAUCCUCCAGCUUAACUGGAGAACGGCCGUGGAUACUGGCGACCUCGAGGGGGGUAGGGGCUUGCGGAACUGUGCGUGGAGCGGUGAAAUGCGUUGAUAUGCACAGGAACUCCGGUGGCGAAGGCGGCGAGCUGGACCCUUUCUGACGCUGAGGCGCGAAAGCCAGGGGAGCAAACGGG